AUGAACGCUAGCUACAGGCUUAACACAUGCAAGUCGAGGGGCAGCAUGAACUUAGCUUGCUAAGUUUGAUGGCGACCGGCGCACGGGUGAGUAACACGUAUCCAACCUGCCGAUGACUCGGGGAUAGCCUUUCGAAAGAAAGAUUAAUACCCGAUGGCAUAGUUCUUCCGCAUGGUAGAACUAUUAAAGAAUUUCGGUCAUCGAUGGGGAUGCGUUCCAUUAGGUUGUUGGCGGGGUAACGGCCCACCAAGCCUUCGAUGGAUAGGGGUUCUGAGAGGAAGGUCCCCCACAUUGGAACUGAGACACGGUCCAAACUCCUACGGGAGGCAGCAGUGAGGAAUAUUGGUCAAUGGACGAGAGUCUGAACCAGCCAAGUAGCGUGAAGGAUGACUGCCCUAUGGGUUGUAAACUUCUUUUAUACGGGAAUAAAGUGAGGCACGUGUGCCUUUUUGUAUGUACCGUAUGAAUAAGGAUCGGCUAACUCCGUGCCAGCAGCCGCGGUAAUACGGAGGAUCCGAGCGUUAUCCGGAUUUAUUGGGUUUAAAGGGAGCGUAGGCGGACGCUUAAGUCAGUUGUGAAAGUUUGCGGCUCAACCGUAAAAUUGCAGUUGAUACUGGGUGUCUUGAGUACAGUAGAGGCAGGCGGAAUUCGUGGUGUAGCGGUGAAAUGCUUAGAUAUCACGAAGAACUCCGAUUGCGAAGGCAGCCUGCUGGACUGUAACUGACGCUGAUGCUCGAAAGUGUGGGUAUCAAACAGGAUUAGAUACCCUGGUAGUCCACACAGUAAACGAUGAAUACUCGCUGUUUGCGAUAUACAGUAAGCGGCCAAGCGAAAGCGUUAAGUAUUCCACCUGGGGAGUACGCCGGCAACGGUGAAACUCAAAGGAAUUGACGGGGGCCCGCACAAGCGGAGGAACAUGUGGUUUAAUUCGAUGAUACGCGAGGAACCUUACCCGGGCUUGAAUUGCAACUGAAUGAUGUGGAGACAUGUCAGCCGCAAGGCAGUUGUGAAGGUGCUGCAUGGUUGUCGUCAGCUCGUGUCGUGAGAUGUUGGGUUAAGUCCCGCAACGAGCGCAACCCCUAGUAUUAGUUGCCAGCGAGUAAUGUCGGGAACUCUAAUACGACUGCCGGUGAUAAAUCGGAGGAAGGUGGGGACGACGUCAAAUCAUCAUGCCCUUUAUGUCUUGGGCUACACACGUACUACAAUGGCUAUAACAAAGAGAAGCGAAAUAGCGAUAUGGAGCAAAACUCAAAAAAAUAGUCUCAGUUCGGAUUGAAGGCUGAAAUUCGCCUUCAUGAAGCUGGAAUUGCUAGUAAUGGCAGGUCAGCAUACUGCCGUGAAUACGUUCCCGGGCCUUGUACACACCGCCCGUCACACCAUGAGAGUUGGAAAUACCCGAAGCCUGUGAGCUAACCUAAGAGGCAGCAGUCGAAGGUAGAGCCAAUGAUUGGGGUG
rnacentral:rRNA from 1 species